rnacentral:rRNA from 1 species
AUUGAACGCUGGCGGCAUGCUUUACACAUGCAAGUCGAACGGUAACAGGCCGCAAGGUGCUGACGAGUGGCGAACGGGUGAGUAAUGCAUCGGAACGUGCCCAGUCGUGGGGGAUAACUACUCGAAAGAGUAGCUAAUACCGCAUACGAUCUAUGGAUGAAAGCGGGGGACCGUAAGGCCUCGCGCGAUUGGAGCGGCCGAUGUCAGAUUAGGUAGUUGGUGGGGUAAAGGCUCACCAAGCCAACGAACUGUAGCUGGUCUGAGAGGACGACCAGCCACACUGGGACUGAGACACGGCCCAGACUCCUACGGGAGGCAGCAGUGGGGAAUUUUGGACAAUGGGCGCAAGCCUGAUCCAGCAAUGCCGCGUGCAGGAAGAAGGCCUUCGGGUUGUAAACUGCUUUUGUACGGAACGAAACGGCUCUGGUUAAUACCCGGGGCUAAUGACGGUACCGUAAGAAUAAGCACCGGCUAACUACGUG